rnacentral:rRNA from 1 species
AGCCGCCGCGGUAAUACGGAGGGCGCGAGCGUUACCCGGAUUUACUGGGCGUAAAGGGCGCGUAGGCGGCCUGGGGCGUCCCAUGUGAAAGGCCACGGCUCAACCGUGGAGGAGCGUGGGAUACGCUCAGGCUAGAGGGUGGGAGAGGGUGGUGAAUUCCCGGAGUAGCGGUGAAAUGCGCAGAUACCGGGAGGAACGCCGAUGGCGAAGGCAGCCACCUGGUCCACUUCUGACGCUGAGGCGCGAAAGCGUGGGGAGCAAACCGGAUUAGAUACCCGCGUAGUCCCUGUCUCUUAUACAC